rfam:Triticum urartu cultivar G1812 contig1249490, whole genome shotgun sequence.
UAUCUACUCCUUUUCUCCCGAAUUAAUUGUCUUAGAUUUUUCUAGAUACGGAUGUAUCUUCACACGUUUUAGUGUUACAUACAUUCAUAUCUAGACAAAUCUAAAACAACUAAUUUGGGGCGGAGGUAAUAUUAU